rnacentral:lncRNA from 1 species
CCACUGCUUUAAUGAUAAAGAUUAUGUGCUGAUGUCACUGUGCUCCUGGGUUAACGUCGUGGUUGGUAGAAUGACGGCCAUAGACCGAGUUGCCAAGCAGGUUGUGGUUUCCAAGGAUGAGAUCGUGUUCUACGACCACCUCAUUCUCUGCACGGGGCAGCAGUACCAGGUAAGGCUGCACGCGCAACAGGGGCACUGGCACAGGCAGGCAGAGAUCUCCACGGCAAUGGGCUUACCGGGGCGCAUACUCCGUGGGUAAAGAGCGUCUAGUCUUCCUGCAUGGCAGCCACUCUGUAUUCAUGAAAGUGCUCCUCAAGGCCUGUACACAUGAAGUCUGCAAACCGUCCCGAGAAAGCCAUUCCAAGAAAAACAUUCUGUUGAAGAAAAAAAAAA